GUGGUCCCACCUGACCCCAUGCCGAACUCAGAAGUGAAACGCCGUAGCGCCGAUGGUAGUGUGGGGUCUCCCCAUGCGAGAGUAGGGAACUGCCA
rnacentral:rRNA from 1 species